rnacentral:rRNA from 1 species
UACGGGGGGGGCAAGCGUUGUUCGGAAUUACUGGGCGUAAAGGGCUCGUAGGUGGCCAACUAAGUCAGACGUGAAAUCCCUCAGCUUAACUGGGGAACUGCGUCUGAUACUGGAUGGCUUGAGUUUGGGAGAGGGAUGCGGAAUUCCAGGUGUAGCGGUGAAAUGCGUAGAUAUCUGGAGGAACACCGGUGGCGAAGGCGGGUCUCUGGGCCGUUACUGACGCUGAGGAGCGAAAGCGUGGGGAGCGAACAGG